UUGAGAAACGAUCACAAUUUU
rnacentral:piRNA from 1 species